UAGUCAUGUAAAAUCAUAAGCAAUACGUAAGGAAUAGAAAAUAGCCACAAAAGUUCCCAUCUCGUUACGUAUCAGAGCACCUAAAGACACAGUGAGAGAUAGCCACUCACGACAGCAAUCAACAACUACUUAUUCUCGAUCACCUGCAAGUUACUCAUACGAAGAGCAACAUUUCCAAGCAGAAGGGGUGAUAUUUCACAUUCAAUAAUAAUAAGCAUAUAAUACAAAAAAAUGCAUUUAACAACUUAAUUCAGCUUCGUUUAAUAAUGUUAUCUCACAUAAUUAUUCAUUUACUACUUCACUUAUCAUCAUAGACAUCAUC
rnacentral:lncRNA from 1 species